GGAGGCGUCGCAUAGUGGUCUAGUGCGUUCGCUUGGAAAGCGAAUAUACCGCAAGGUAUCAGAGGUUCGAAUCCUCUCGCCUCCGCCA
rnacentral:tRNA from 1 species